CACGUAGGCAGCGAGCGUUGUUCGGAGUUACUGGGCGUAAAGAGUGCGUAGGCGGUUUUCUAAGUUUGGUGUGAAAUCUCCCGGCUCAACCGGGAGGGUGCGCCGAAUACUGAGUGGCUAGAGUGCGGGAGAGGAAAGUGGAAUUCCUGGUGUAGCGGUGAAAUGCGUAGAUAUCAAGGAGGAACACCGGUGGUGUAAACGGCUUUCUGGACCGUAACUGACGCUGAGGCACGAAAGCGUGGGUAGCAAACAGG
rnacentral:rRNA from 1 species